GGGGCAUCUUCAGCAGGUUGGAGGGAAAGGCAGGUACUGGGUGCCUCCCUGCCCUGCACCAGGGCUAAAGGAGCAGCGGAGAUGGAUGGGGCUGGGAGAGAGUGGAGGAGGAAGGCUCCCGCGAGCAGCCAUCCCACUGGCCCUGUGUGAACUUGGGGAAAUUUGCUCAGGGCAACACUGAAAUAUUUGCAUUUGCUUUUCAGCUCAAGUGUGGGAACAGCCAUAGGAGAAGCUCAGCCAAACCUGCUUCUUCACAACUAGAAACAACCUUUUUCCUCUUUGUAUCCGUGUGCUAUUACUGACCGCAGCAUGCUGUUUGCAUCACACUGACCCACAGAACCCCGGGGCAAUGUGGGCCCUCCUGGAACAGGCACUGCAGAAGCAGCCUAGGAACACCACGGCUUGGUCCCAUCACUCCCCAGCUCCUCCUGAGAGGAACACUGAAAGAAAAGACUGAGAAAAGGGCUUAAGCUCCUAAAAAUCAAGUGAAAAGGGAGAUGAGCAAAUCCUUGCUGCCUCCAAGAAAGGUUGUAAAAAGGGGCUUGCUAGUGGAUUCCGUAGCAUCUCCUACCUGGUGACACUCCUCUCAUACAGCCUGCUCACAUCUACGCUGUGCCUCUAGAUGACGGCUGAGACAAAGAAAAGCUGAUGACCCCAGAAAGCUGGUGCAUUAAGCAGGGAAUUGCUCACAGUCAGUGCAUUCGACAUGCAGCUGCCUAUGGCUCAUUAGUCAGCAUGGCUGAGAACAGCGGUGGGUGGCAAAUCCCAGCUCCAGAAGCCUUAAUUCAAACACCUUCCUACAGUACUGUGCCUACUGGGAAACCCUUGUCCUGAAAUGAGGGAGGACCACCAAAAAACCAAACCCUAUGUCUGAAAGUGGUGUCCAAACACUCCUUGAACUCUGGCAGCUUGGAGCUGUGACCACCAGCCUUGGUAAGGAACCUUUCCCUAACA
ensembl:lncRNA